ACUUAUGUAAUACUGUACAUCAACUAUACUUCAAUUUAAAAAAGUUUAAAAAGUGGGAAUAAUAUCAAUACCUUAAUUUGAAAACAGAAAGGACAAUAAUAAAAGACAAAUUAAAGGUUCCAAUGAAUAAAACGUAGUUAACAGUAGGGGCAUUUAGGAACAAUGACAGUAUUAAUCAAACAUGAAAUAUGAAGCAAGACAGAAACAGCAGUUCUGGAAGAAAAAAAGCUACUACGACAUUUUCAAAUAUUCAACAGAUAGGUAAAACUGUACCUUUUUUAUUCGGUUAAAGGGUAUCUGUUUAACAGCGUCAAUGUGUGUAACAGAUUCGUGGGCAGAGAACAUACUAGUUGCUCUUUUAAAAUAAAAGCAAUACCUACUUGUCUACAAUGUUAUAUCCCUCUGAACUAAUGCACAAGUCCAAUUUCUCCCUCCUACACAGAAAAACAGACUGUUGAAAGACUCUGGCCAAACUCAAGUGCUGCAGCAUGGCAAUCUGAACAGAGUAAAUGCAGCAGUAAAUCAGCAGUUGAAUUCCAUUACAAUUGUUAUGUUGGAAGAGGAAGAAGGGGGGAAAAAGUCAAACACUUUCUUAGUAGAAAAACACACACAUACACACACACACACACGCCCUCCCCCCCCC